rnacentral:sRNA from 1 species
UUCCAGUUUUACCAGGGCAGGUGGGCGA